rnacentral:rRNA from 1 species
GAGUUUGAUCCUGGCUCAGAACGAACGCUGGCGGCAGGCUUAACACAUGCAAGUCGAGCGCCUCGCAAGAGGAGCGGCAGACGGGUGAGUAACGCGUAGGAAUCUACCCAGUAGCGGGGGAUAGCUCGGGGAAACUCGAAUUAAUACCGCAUACGCCCUAAGGGGGAAAGCAGGGGAUCUUCGGACCUUGCACUAUUGGAUGAGCCUGCGUUGGAUUAGCUAGUUGGUGAGGUAAAAGCUCACCAAGGCGACGAUCCAUAGCUGGUCUGAGAGGAUGAUCAGCCACACUGGGACUGAGACACGGCCCAGACUCCUACGGGAGGCAGCAGUGGGGAAUAUUGGACAAUGGGCGCAAGCCUGAUCCAGCUAUGCCGCGUGUGUGAAGAAGGCCCUAGGGUUGUAAAGCACUUUCAGCGGGGAGGAAGACGCUGGGGUUAAUAGCCCUGGUUGAUGACGUUACCCGCAGAAGAAGCACCGGCUAACUCCGUGCCAGCAGCCCGGUAUCUA